rnacentral:rRNA from 1 species
CCUACGGGAGGCUGCAGUGAGGAAUAUUGGUCAAUGGGCGUAAGCCUGAACCAGCCAAGUCGCGUGAGGGAUGAAGGUUCUAUGGAUCGUAAACCUCUUUUAUCAGGGAAUAAAGUGCGGGACGUGUCCCGUUUUGUAUGUACCUUAUGAAUAAGGAUCGGCUAACUCCGUGCCAGCAGCCGCGGUAAUACGGAGGAUCCGAGCGUUAUCCGGAUUUAUUGGGUUUAAAGGGUGCGUAGGCGGCCUUUUACGUCAGCGGUGAAAGUCUGUGGCUCAACCAUAGAAGUGCCGUUGAAACUGGGAGGCUUGAGUAUGUGAGAGGCAGGCGGAAUGCGUGGUGUAGCGGUGAAAUGCUUAGAUAUCGCGCAGAACCCCGAUUGCGAAGGCAGCAUGCCAAGCCAUGACUGACGCUGAGGCACGAAAGCGUGGGGAUCGAACAGGAUUAGAUACCCUUGUAGUC